GAACGGUUGGUGGUGUGGGCGGCAGAGAUGUGCCGGAAUCUGACCAGCCGGUGCUACGAAGAUCGCAAUCAGAUUCUAACUGAGUUGAGAGAGUGGCUCUCUGGGUGUCGAGAAUCUCUUUUGUUUUAUAGAUGCGAGAGAAAAGUUUCCCUCUUGUUCACUAACGACAGGAAAAAGUUGAACACAGAGAAAGGUUGAACGACAGAGGAAAAUUUUACUUCUGAUUGACGAACGACAGAGGCAAAAAAAAAAUCCUAUAACAGAGGCCAUUCCCAUUGUUU
rnacentral:misc_RNA from 1 species